GAGUAUAACGUCAUUGCUCAUGUAUGGCAACAACUGCAUUUCCCAACUACAAGAGAGUUCAAUAGAGUAUUCUCUCCUCCACUGAAGAACACCCGGAAUCUAUAAAUCCCACAACUCACCAAAAAGAACACAUCUUUUAUCAAAGUCGAUCAAGAUGGCACCAACCCAAAUCCCAGAGGUUGUUCUUAAAUCCUCCAACGGCCGCCGGACCAUGCCUGUGCUUGGCUUCGGCACAGCAUCCAACAAUUUACAACCAGAGGUUCUCAUAGAAGCUGUGAUCGAGGCCAUCAAGCUCGGUUACCGCCACUUCGACACAGCUUCGCUUUACGGCUCUGAGCAGAGUCUGGGAGUAGCCAUUGCCAAAGCACUCGAACUCGGACUUGUGUCUUCUCGUGACGAGCUCUUCAUCACUUCCAAGCUUUGGUCUAAUGAUGCUCACCCUCACCUCGUUCUUCCUGCUCUCAAGAAAUCGCUGCAGAAUCUUCAAUUGGAGUAUCUUGAUCUGUAUCUGAUUCACUGGCCGAUUAGUGCUACGCCUGGGAAGUUGAGUCACUUAUUAGAAGAGAAGGACCAAAUGCCUAUGGACUUCAAGGGUGUGUGGGCAGCUAUGGAGGAAGCUCAGAAACUUGGACUCACCAAGUCUAUUGGAAUCAGCAACUUCUCUACCAAAAAGACUCAGGAUUUGCUCUCUUUUGCUACUAUUCCUCCUUCGGUUAAUCAGGUUGAGAUGAGCCCAUUUUGGCAACAGAAGAAGCUGAGAGAGUUCUGCAAGGCCAAUGGUAUAGUCGUGACUGCCUUCUCCCCAUUAGGUGCCAUUGGAACUAGUUGGGGCACCAAUCAUGUUCUCGAAAGCAAAGUGCUUAAUGAAAUCGCCGAGGGUCAUGGAAAGACUGUUGCUCAGGUUUGUAUUAGAUGGAUUUAUCAGGUAGGGGCAACUCUUGCAGUGAAGAGCUACAACAAGGAGAGGUUGAAGCAGAAUGCGCAGGUGUUUGACUGGGAACUAACAGAAGAGGACCUUGAGAAGAUCAAUCAUAUCCCACAGCAGAAAAUGAUGCUUCGAGAAGAAUUGGUUACGGCUACUGGACCAUACAAGUCCCUUGAUGACUUAUGGGAUGGGGAAUAUUAACUUCACUCUGUUUGAAAAUGAAAAUGAAGAUGUAUGUAUAACACUAUCAGAUGAAUAAGGUUGCCAGCUAGAUCAUGUAUCUAUGGUGUGCAUCGUAUAAGACUUCUGUUCAACUCUGGAAACACAUUGCUUGGGUUCCAAUCCUCCAUUUUGUUGUUAAUCAUAAGGAAAUGACUGAUAUUUGAAAUUUAGCGAGGCCUAAUUACA